rnacentral:rRNA from 1 species
CUGAACGCUGGCGGCGUGGUUAAGACAUGCAAGUCGCACGGGAGCAGCAAUGCUCUAGUUGGCGCAAGGGUGAGUAAUGUAUCGCUAACGUACCCUGGACGCUGGGAUAGCUGCCCGAAAGGGCAGGUAAUACCAGAUGAAAUAUCCAUCUCGCAUGAGUGUGGAUCUCAAAGGAGCAAUCCGGUCUGGGCGCGGGCGAUAUCGUAUCAGCUAGUUGGUGAUAGGGUAACGGCUCACCAAGGCGACGACGCGUAGCCGGACUUGAGAGGUCGGUCGGCCACAUCGGGACUGAGACACUGCCCGGACUCCUACGGGGGGGCUGCAGUAACGAAUCUUCCCCAAUGGGCGCAAGCCUGAGGGAGCGACGCCCGCGUGGAGGAUGGAGUCCUUCGGGAUGUAAACUCCUGUCAGGGGUUACCAAGUUCUGAGGAGCCCCAAAGGAAGAGGCGGCUAACUCUGUGCCAGCAGCCGCGGUAAGACAGAGGCCCUCAAGCGUUAGGCGGAAUCACUGGGCUUAAAGCGUGUGUAGGCGGAUCGUUAAGUGCCUUGUGAAAUCCCACGGCUUAACUGUGGAAACGGCUGGGCAUACUGGCGGUCUUGAGCCAUCUAGGGGCGACUGGAACAAACGGUGGAGCGGUGAAAUGCGUAGAUAUCGUUUGGAACGCCAAUGGUGAAAACAGGUCGCUGGGGACGAGCUGACGCUGAGACACGAAAGCCAGGGGAGCAAACGGGAUUAGAUACCCCGGUAGUCCUGGCCCUAAACGAUGUCCGCUAGAUCAUUGGUUCCUCUGACGGAUUCAUGGUCGAAGCAAAAGUGCUAAGUGGACCGCCUGGGAAAGUACGGAUCGCAUAGGCUAAAACUCAAAGGAAUUGACGGGGGGCUCAACACAAGCGGUGGAGCAUGUGGUUCAAUUCGAAGCAACGCGCAAGAACCUUACCUGGGCUUGACAUGCUUGGAUUAUCCCCAUGAAAGUGGGGUAGGCCCUUCGGGGUACAACUAAGUACAAGGUGCUGCAUAGGCUGUCGGUCAGCUCGUGUCGUGAGAUGUCGGGUUAAGUCCCAUAACGAGCGAAACCUUUGCCCUUAGUUACCAGCGGGUUAAGCCGGGGACUCUAAGGGAGACUGGCCGGUGUCAAACCGGAGGAAGGUGGAGAUGACGUCAAGUCCUCAUGGGCCUUUAUGCCCAGGGCCACACACGUGCUACAAUGGCGUGGACAAAGCGAACCUAAAGCGCAAGCUGGUGAGAUAAACGCCAAAAAUCACGCCCCAGUUCAGAUCGGAGGCUGCAACUCGCCUCCGUGAAGUUGGAAUCGCUAGUAAUCGCGGAUCAGCCACGCCGCGGUGAAUGUGUUCCUGAGCCUUGUACACACCCGCCCGUCAAGUCAUGGGAGCCGGAAAUAGCCGAAGUUGCCGCAAUACAGCGGUUACCUACGCUAGGUUCGGUGACUGGGACU